UACGUAGGGCGCAAGCGUUGUCCGGAAUUAUUGGGCGUAAAGAGCUCGUAGGUGGCGUGUCGCGUCUGCCGUGAAAGCCCAUGGCUUAACUGUGGGUCUGCGGUGGAUACGGGCAGGCUGGAGGCUGGUAGGGGCAAGCGGAAUUCCUGGUGUAGCGGUGAAAUGCGCAGAUAUCAGGAGGAACACCGGUGGCGAAGGCGGCUUGCUGGGCCAUACCUGACGCUGAGACGCGAAAGCGUGGGGAGCAAACAGG
rnacentral:rRNA from 1 species